CAAAGAGCAGGACGCUCUGCUUACCUUAAGGGGAUGGCCACGAACAAUUAUGGCUGGCUGAUUUGACUGCCAUUACUCAGGGCUACUACCCUGAGCUGGAUGGGAAGGAGGGAUGGGGACUGCAAAGGCAAAAGCGACACACUUUUCACAUGAUUGUUCAGUGCAUCAAAGCUCAACAUAGGCUGUCAACCUCUAACUUCCAGCUGUGAUUCAUAUUAACAUUUAUCACGAACUAAGAUUCA